rnacentral:snRNA from 9 species
AUACUUAGCUGGCGUAGGGAUACCGUGAUCAUGCAGGCGGUUCCCCCGAGGUGCGGCUGCUCCAUUGCACUGCAGAGUGGUUGACCCUUGCGAUUAUUUUUAUAUUUUAUAAGUUUCACUUCUACCGUGUGUGACUUGCACACACACACU